GGUUUAUUAGUGUAGUUAGUUAGAACAUCAUAUUAAUAACCUGAAAGUUACAUGUUUGAAUCUUAUAUGAACCA
rnacentral:tRNA from 1 species